rnacentral:tRNA from 2 species
GAACCCGUUGGUGGGCGGCCUGACCACGGCAGCGCUGCUGAUGCUGUUCUGGCCGCUGAUAUCCAAGGCUCUGCAAACCCUGACGGGCCUGC